rnacentral:rRNA from 1 species
UGGGGAAUCUUCCGCAAUGGACGAAAGUCUGACGGAGCAACGCCGCGUGAGUGAUGACGGCCUUCGGGUUGUAAAGCUCUGUUAAUCGGGACGAAAGGUCUUCUUGCGAAUAGUUAGAAGAAUUGACGGUACCGGAAUAGAAAGCCACGGCUAACUACGUGCCAGCAGCCGCGGUAAUACGUAGGUGGCAAGCGUUGUCCGGAAUUAUUGGGCGUAAAGCGCGCGCAGGCGGAUCAGUCAGUCUGUCUUAAAAGUUCGGGGCUUAACCCCGUGAUGGGAUGGAAACUGCUGAUCUAGAGUAUCGGAGAGGAAAGUGGAAUUCCUAGUGUAGCGGUGAAAUGCGUAGAUAUUAGGAAGAACACCAGUGGCGAAGGCGACUUUCUGGACGAAAACUGACGCUGAGGCGCGAAAGCCAGGGGAGCGAACGGGACUAGAUACCCUGGUAGUCCACGCCCUAAACGAUGUCAAUUAGCUGCUGGGCAACUUGAUUGCUUAGUAGCGUAGCUAACGCGUGAAAUUGACCGCCUGGGGAGUACGGUCGCAAGAUUA